CUCAAAGGAAUUGACGGGGGCCCGCACAAGCGGAGGAACAUGUGGUUUAAUUCGAUGAUACGCGAGGAACCUUACCCGGGCUUGAACUGCAGGAGAACGAUUCAGAGAUGAUGAGGUCCUUCGGGACUCCUGUGGAGGUGCUGCAUGGUUGUCGUCAGCUCGUGCCGUGAGGUGUCGGCUUAAGUGCCAUAACGAGCGCAACCCCUUUCGUUAGUUGCCAUCAGGUAAUGCUGGGCACUCUGGCGAUACUGCCACCGUAAGGUGUGAGGAAGGUGGGGAUGACGUCAAAUCAGCACGGCCCUUACGUCCGGGGCUACACACGUGUUACAAUGGGUGGUACAGAGAGUGGGUCGUCUGCAAAUGCGAUCAAAUCCUAAAAGCCAUCCUCAGUUCGGAUUGGGGUCUGCAACCCGACCCCAUGAAGCUGGAUUCGCUAGUAAUCGCGCAUCAGCCAUGGCGCGGUGAAUACGUUCCCGGGCCUUGUACACACCGCCCGUC
rnacentral:rRNA from 1 species